rnacentral:antisense_RNA from 1 species
CUUCACCGAGCCCAACAGCAGUGGGUGGGUCCGGUCCUGUCCGUAGGUCGCCAGCACCGCCGUCGCUUC